UACCAGCACCCCGAGUGGUCGGGACGAUUAUUGGGCCUAAAGCAUCCGUAGCCGGUUCUACAAGUCUUCCGUUAAAUCCACCUGCUCAACAGAUGGGCUGCGGAGGAUACUAUAGAGCUAGGAGGCGGGAGAGGCAAGCGGUACUUAGUGGGUAGGGGUAAAAUCCGUUGAUCCAUUGAAGACCACCAGUGGCGAAGGCGGCUUGCCAGAACGCACUCGACGGUGAGGGAUGAAAGCUGGGGGAGCAA
rnacentral:rRNA from 1 species